ACAUUGUGAUGAGGGAAUUUCCUUUGUAGCUCCUUAAAUCUUUCAUAUGCCUCAUAUAAACUCUCUCAAUCAUAUUGUUUGAAGUCAAGAAUAUCCUUGGUGAGCUU